GGUACAGCCAGAUCCUGGAGCAGAUCAACCUCAGCGAGGGCCAGCCCAGCUGGUGACCCUGUCCUGGCCACCAGGACAGGUGCUGGUGUCAGGAAGCACAAGACAUCCCCGUCGCUGACCAUCGCAAGCUCUUCCCAGUCUCGCUCGCGUUCCCCACUCCGUGGCAGCUGACCUGAUCUCCCGGCACUGGCACUGACACCGGAGAUGGUUGUGACCACUGGAGAACCGGAUGGUGCCUUAUCCUCAUAGGAAGAAGCAUCCGGCUGCGCCGGGAGGUCCGUUGGAAGAACUGCAGGCUCGUGCCCUCCUCUUUAUUUUCAAAGAGGAGCACAAAGCUGGGGGUGUUGUAAGGUGACCCAGACCUCCAAGAGUCCCUUGAGACUGCCAAGCCCUUUCCCAGCUGGUACCUGGACUCCGAGGGCAUUUUCCCCUGUUUCUGCUAAUAAAAGAAUCCCUGUCAAGCCA